GUCGCUGAAACAGCAGCGAUCCGGUUUGGCGACCGGAAUUGUUCCAAGGCGGACAGCCGCCGACGUGCGGUUUUUUU
rnacentral:sRNA from 2 species